rnacentral:rRNA from 1 species
UACAGAGGCCACGAGCGUUAGGCGGAAUCACUGGGCUUAAAGCGUGUGUAGGUGGAUGGCUAAGUACCUUGUGAAAUCCCACGGCUCAACCGUGGAACUGCUCGGUAUACUGGUCGUCUUGAGGCACUCAGGGGCGAGCGGAACAGAUGGUGGAGCGGUGAAAUGCGUAGAUAUCAUCUGGAACGCCAAUGGUGAAGACAGCUCGCUGGGGGGUGUACUGACACUGAGACAGCGAAAAGCCAAGGGGGAGCGAACCGGG